UUAAAGAAAGCGUAAUAGCUCACUGGUCGAGUCGGCCUGCGCGGAAGAUGUAACGGGGCUAAGUAGUAAACCGAAGCUGCGGCAAUGUGCUUUUGCACAUUGGGUAGGGGAGCGUUCUGUAAGCGGUUGAAGGUGUGUGGUAACGCAUGCUGGACGUAUCAGAAGUGCGAAUGCUGACAUGAGUAACGAUAAAGGGGGUGAAAAACCUCCUCGCCGGAAGACCAAGGGUUCCUGUCCAACGUUAAUCGGGGCAGGGUAAGUCGACCCCUAAGGCGAGGCCGAAAGGCGUAGUCGAUGGGAAACGGGUUAAUAUUCCCGUACUUCUUACAAUUGCGAUGGGGGG
rnacentral:rRNA from 1 species